rfam:Fonsecaea erecta strain CBS 125763 Scaff3, whole genome shotgun sequence.
CUCCAUCGCUAAGUCAAGGCUGCCUUCUGCGUUACCGCAAUCUUUCUUCAGUGAAAGUGGCCUGUUACAGCUUUGGUACAUCAAGCCGCGCUCGCCAUCCUCACGGAUGGUUCUCGACAACUGCAUCCGUCUUGGAAGCAAAUCUGUCACCAGAGCGCAAGGCGUGUUUCGUUUGAGUUGAGGUUUGCUUUUUUUGUCUAUGGCACGUCUCUUAGUAAUGUCUCACACAUCC